UACGAAGGGUGCAAGCGUUAAUCGGAAUUACUGGGCGUAAAGGGUGCGUAGGCGGUUUUGUAAGUCUGACGUGAAAUCCCCGGGCUCAACCUGGGAAUUGCGUUGGAGACUGCAAGGCUGGAGUCUGGCAGAGGGGGGUAGAAUUCCACGUGUAGCAGUGAAAUGCGUAGAGAUGUGGAGGAACACCGAUGGCGAAGGCAGCCCCCUGGGUCAAGACUGACGCUCAUGCACGAAAGCGUGGGGAGCAAACAGG
rnacentral:rRNA from 1 species